rnacentral:rRNA from 1 species
GACGAACGCUGGCGGCGUGCCUAAUACAUGCAAGUCGAACGCAGUGGGGACGGGUGAGUAACACGUGGGUAACCUCCCAUCAGAGGGGAUAACACUUGGAAACAGGUGCUAAACCGAUAUUGAAGGAUGGACCCGCGGUGCAUUAGUUAGUUGGUGAGGUAACGGCUCACCAAGGCCACGAUGCAUAGCCGGGCUGAGAUGGUGAACCGCCACACGGGGAAUUGGACACGGCCCAGGCUUCUGCGGGAGGCAGCAGGAGGGAAUCUUUGGCAAUGGGCGGAAGGCUGACCGAGCAACUCCGGGUGAGUGAAGAAGGUUUUCGGAUCGUAAAGCUCUGUUGUUAGAGGAGCGGUAACUAACCAGAAAGGGACGGCUAACUACGUGCCAGCAGCCGCGGUAAUUC